rnacentral:lncRNA from 1 species
CUUUUCGAGGUAGGAGUCGACUCCUGUGAGGUAUGGUGCUGGGUGCAGAUGCAGUGUGGCUCUGGAUAGCACCUUAUGGACAGUUGUGUCCCCAAGGAAGGAUGAGAAUAGCUACUGAAGUCCUAAAGAGCAAGCCUAACUCAAGCCAUUGGCACACAGGCAUUAGACAGAAAGCUGGAAGUUGAAAUGGUGGAGUCCAACUUGCCUGGACCAGCUUAAUGGUUCUGCUCCUGGUAACGUUUUUAUCCAUGGAUGACUUGCUUGGGUAAGGACAUGAAGACAGUUCCUGUCAUACCUUUUAAAGGUAUGGAGAGUCGGCUUGACUACACUGUGUGGAGCAAGUUUUAAAGAAGCAAAGGACUCAGAAUUCAUGAUUGAAGAAAUGCAGGGUUUUUAAUGACCACAACAAGCAAGCAUGCAGCUUACUGCUUGAAAGGGUCUUGCCUCACCCAAGCUAGAGUGCAGUGGCCUUUGAAGCUUACUACAGCCUCAAACUUCUGGGCUCAAGUGAUCCUCAGCCUCCCAGUGGUCUUUGUAGACUGCCUGAUGGAGUCUCAUGGCACAAGAAGAUUAAAACAGUGUCUCCAAUUUUAAUAAAUUUUUGCAAUCCA